AAUCAGACAGGAUGAGAGGAGGAUAAGGCUAAAGACAGAGGCUCCAGCUACCUUGGUGACAAGGAAUGGAGGAGAAAAGGAACAGGAAAUUUUAAUAAGAUUAGGAGGGCUUGCUUUUCUGCCAAGUGAGUCACAGAUUUAGCGUGAUGUUGAGCCCCACAGCCUGAUAACAGAGAGUAUAAUGAUGAUUAUUGCGUCAAUAAAUUUUUUUUUUGAGAUGGAGACUCACUCUGUCACCCCGGCUGCAGUGCAGUGGUGUGAUCUCAGCUCACUGCAACCCCUGCCUCCCAGGUUCUAGUGAGUCUCCUGCCUCAGCCUCCCGAGCAGCUGGGACUACAGCCGCUUUCACAGGAGCGAUAAAUUGGAAAUGUUAUCUGGCUUGAUAUGCCAGUUUUUCUGAGAAAAUCACUCUGCCAGUGGUGACAGAAUGGAAGAGCUGAAAACAUCUUCUUUUUUCAAAGUCAUAUGUCACGAACCAAGGAGACUCCAAAAAAUAAAUUAUGGAAGAUUAUGACCACUGCUGCCAAGGAUACAGUGAAAUAGAGUUUGUGGCAUCUGGUUUUAACUCCAAUAUGUAAAGAGCUUGGAAGCCAUCUUUCCUUCCACCACAACAAGAAAACAGCUGAACUGAAAAUCAAUGACUUUUCUUAGAUCCAUUAAAGAAUUGAGAUUGCAGGACACACUACCACCCUGAAAACUGGAGAGAGGAAAAAUACAGAGAGGAAGCAGAUCAGCUUACCUGAAGCAGAGGCCGCUGGAAUCUGUGACAGGCUGCAUUUGUAACCAAGCCGUGGUCCUUUUCAUUGCAUCUUGCCAGAAUGAAGAAGAGCUGAUCUCUCCAGUUCCUGUUAUUCCCCUUACAUUGCCCACAUUUAUUGCUCAAUAAACCACAGAAAUCCUUCUGUAA
rnacentral:lncRNA from 1 species